UCAUCAAUAAGAGAAUUGUAAGUCACUGUAUUAAUUAGGAACUGUUGAUUAGAUGCAUGAUACAGUGACUUACAAUUCUCUUAUUAA
rnacentral:pre_miRNA from 1 species